rnacentral:ncRNA from 1 species
UAAACGGCGUUGACGAAGAGUAGUAAUUUAUAUGGACUCUAUUAGAGAGCUGGUGGUUGGUGAGAACCAGUGAGAACAUGUGAAUGAAUGGACUUCUGAGCUUCCAAACCGAAAAUCUAAUGGAACAGUAGGCUUUGGCGAAUGUCUUAUCGUUACAAGAGACGGAUAUUAAGCUUGAAAUUCAAGCUCGAUAUUGUCAAAGUGAGCUGUUUGUCAGCUAAUAAAGGUGGUACCACGGGUUCCUCGUCCUUUUG